rnacentral:rRNA from 1 species
GAUGAACGCUGGCGGCGUGCCUAAUACAUGCAAGUCGAGCGAACAGACGAGGAGCUUGCUCCUCUGACGUUAGCGGCGGACGGGUGAGUAACACGUGGAUAACCUACCUAUAAGACUGGGAUAACUUCGGGAAACCGGUGCUAAUACCGGAUAAUAUAUUGAACCGCAUGGUUCAAUAGUGAAAGACGGUUUUGCUGUCACUUAUAGAUGGAUCCGCGCCGCAUUAGCUAGUUGGUAAGGUAACGGCUUACCAAGGCAACGAUGCGUAGCCGACCUGAGAGGGUGAUCGGCCACACUGGAACGGAGACACGGUCCAGACUCCUACGGGAGGCAGCAGUAGGGAAUCUUCCGCAAUGGGCGAAAGCCUGACGGAGCAACGCCGCGUGAGUGAUGAAGGUCUUCGGAUCGUAAAACUCUGUUAUUAGGGAAGAACAAAUGUGUAAGUAACUAUGCACGUCUUGACGGUACCUAAUCAGAAAGCCACGGCUAACUACGUG